rnacentral:rRNA from 1 species
AGUCGUAACAAGGUUUCCCAACGUAAGUUGGAGGACAGUGAUCCUUCCGCAGUGCACUUACAGAAGCCUUAGCAGGGCCAGUAUGGCCGGCAACGCGCGACUAUAAACAAUGAUGGAGGCCGCCCAACCAACGUGGUGGGGCUUGCUAGUUGGCUCCGGCCGGCAACACUAUCGAAUUGCGGGGACACCCUAAAGGCACGCGACACGACCCCGACCGCGAAAGCAGUUGGGCCACGUUACAGCACGCGAGCAUGAACCGGUCCGCCGGGGAAAUGGGCAAUCCGCAGCCAAGGGCCUACGGCACAUGUUGCUAUGGUCAAGGUUCACAGACUAAGUGGUAGUGGGUGUGGUUAGCAGCCAUGCUUAAGAUAUAGUCGGGCCCUGGGGGAAACCCCGAGGAGAAGCACGCGCAAUCGCAAGGUACGUUCGUGCCACAACCGUUCCGUAGGUGAACCUGCGGAAGGAUCAUUAACAGGUGGAGCAGGCCUCGCGCUUGCACCUCCCUCCCUUUGCAUACCGUCAACCGUUGCUCGAGCCGGUGGCCUCCGGGCCCCGGCGAGAGACCACAACCACUCUUUUCUGGAUCGUCUGAGUAAACAUACAAUAGAAUAAAACUUUCAACAACGGAUCUCUUGGUUCCGGCAUCGAUGAAGAACGCAGCGAAAUGCGAUAACUAGUGUGAAUUGCAGAUUUACGUGAAUCAUCGAGUCUUUGAACGCACAUUGCNNUCCNUGGNCUUNCAGGGAGCAUGUCUAUCCNAGGCGUCGUUGCAACUCUCAAGCCUGGCUUGGUCCUGNAGAGCNNCCCNNCNCGGGCCCUCCCAAACGCAACUCACGUCGUGCCAUCUCGGUCGGAGCGCAGCAGAUUUGCAGCCCCGUCCGGGCGUCGUCGCGAGCCGCCUCCGUGCGGAUUCUCAAGGUUGACCUCGGAUUAGAUAAGGAUACCCGCUGAACUUAAGCAUACCAAUAAGCGGAGGAAAAGAAACCAACAGGGAUUGCCUCAGUAACGGCGAGUGAAGCGGCAACAGCUCAAAUUUGAAAUCUGGCGCCCCUGGGCGUCCGAGUUGUAAUUUGCAGAGGAUGCUUCGGUAUCGGCGCUGCUCCAGGUUCUUUGGAACAGGACGCCACAGAGGGUGAGAGCCCCGUCUCUGGGCGGCAGUCGAUACCAUGUGAAGCGCCUUCGACGAGUCGAGUUGUUUGGGAAUGCAGCUCAAAAUGGGAGGUAAAUUUCUUCCAAGGCUAAAUACAGGCCGGAGACCGAUAGCGCACAAGUAGAGUGAUCGAAAGAUGAAAAGUACUUUGGAAAGAGAGUCAAACAGCGCGUGAAAUUGUUGAAAGGGAAGCGCUUGCAGUCAGACUUGGCCGCCCGGUUCGGCGGGGUCUCGCACCCCGUCUACGCCGUGGCGAUCAGGCCAGCAUCGGUUCGGACGACUGGAUAAAGGCCACGGGAACGUAGCUCCCCUCGGGGAGUGUUAUAGCCCGCGGCACAAUACGGCCAGUCCGGACCGAGGAACGCGCAUCUGCUCGGAUGCUGGCGUAAUGGCUGCAAGCGGCC